AUACUCUGGUUUCUCCUCAGAUCAUAUAAAUCUUUUGCCUCUUACUAAGGUUUUCCAUGGAGAGAAACGAGUCUGAUUUUUAAGCAAUUUUUUGAGGUCUUGCUUUUGCAAGGC
rnacentral:snRNA from 1 species